GCGGGAGUGGUGGAAUUGGUAGACACGCUGGAUUUAGGUUCCAGUGCCGUAAGGCGUGAGAGUUCGAGUCUCUCCUUCCGCACCA
rnacentral:tRNA from 2 species